rnacentral:snRNA from 1 species
AUACUCUGGUUUCUCUUCAGAUUGUAUAAAUCUUUUGCCUUUUACUAAAGAUUUCCAUAGAGAGGAACAGUUAUGAGUCUUUACCCAAUUUUUUGAGGCCUCAUAUAACACCCGAGACA